CUGGCAUGUUUGGAAGUCACUCAUGAAAGAACAACUCUUGCUAAUCACUCCUAGUUGACAUUUAUCAUAGCCACAUCUCAGCCAUCAGGUGAAAUCUGCCCAGCCUGAAUGCAUUCUUUGAACCAUUUUCUUCAAACAAACAGGCUGUUUUUCCCCUUCCUGCAGAUUUGGAUAGCAAGCCGCAGGCAGAGAAACCUCAAGACAGUGACUGGCUGAC